rnacentral:rRNA from 1 species
GACGAACGCUGGCGGCAAGCUUAACACAUGCAAGUCGAACGCCGCAGCAAUACGGAGUGGCAGACGGGUGAGUAACACGUGGGAACGUGCCUUUCGGUUCGGAACAACUGAGGGAAACUACAGCUAAAACCGGAUACGCCGUGCGGGGGAAAGUGUACGCCCAAAGAUCGGCCCGCGUCGGAUUAGGUAGUUGGCGGGGUAAUGGCCCACCAAGCCGAUGAUCUGUAGCCGUUGUGAGAGGAAGAUCAGCGACACUGGGACUGAGACACGGCCCAGAAUCCUACGGGAGGCAGCAAUGGGGAAUAUUGGACAAUGGGGGCAAGCCUGAUCCAGCUAUGCCGGUUGGAUGAAGAAGGCGUUCGGGUUGUAAAGUCCUUUCGGCGGGGAAGAUAAUGACGGUACCCGCAGAAGAAGCCCCGGCUAAUUUCGUGCCAGCAGCCGCCGUAAAAC